rnacentral:misc_RNA from 1 species
CUGCUCGGAUAAUACUGGAGUCGGUGAGGUCAGACAAAUCAAAGCCACAGUGGACACUGUCCUUGAGGGGUGGAGAUAUGGCUUGAAAAUGUGCGCCAAAAAUAAAUCCAUCAGUACAUACACCACUUACCUGGCUGACUGGGAACUUGUCCGCUAUCGCACAGAACGUCCCAGUAUCGAACUCGCAGCGCUACACGGGAUAGCGUUUCAGCAAGCUGCAAAAAAACAGCCACUUUCAAAAUGCUUUAGGGUCAUUUGGCCGGUUGGGGAAUGGGCCCAUUAAUGGAGAGAGGAAUGUGAUUUUGAGGGAAGGGAGACGCACAAUAAAAUGCUGACUAAAGUGGAAGUGGGGAUACUGAAAACGUGACGGAUUGAUUAAUUACAGUAAUUACAAUACUUGUACUUG